GAUGAACGCUGGCGGCGUGCCUAAUACAUGCAAGUCGAGCGAACGGACGAGAAGCUUGCUUUUCUGAUGUUAGCGGCGGACGGGUGAGUAACACGUGGAUAACCUACCUAUAAGACUGGGAUAACUUCGGGAGACCGGAGCUAAUACCGGAUAAUAUUUUGAACCGCAUGGUUCAAAAGUGAAAGACGGUCUUGCUGUCACUUAUAGAUGGAUCCGCGCUGCAUUAGCUAGUUGGUAAGGUAACGGCUUACCAAGGCAACGAUGCAUAGCCGACCUGAGAGGGUGAUCGGCCACACUGGAACUGAGACACGGUCCAGACUCCUACGGGAGGCAGCAGUAGGGAAUCUUCCGCAAUGGGCGAAAGCCUGACGGAGCAACGCCGCGUGAGUGAUGAAGGUCUUCGGAUCGUAAAACUCUGUUAUUAGGGAAGAACAUAUGUGUAAGUAACUGUGCACAUCUUGACGGUACCUAAUCAGAAAGCCACGGCUAACUACGUG
rnacentral:rRNA from 1 species